rnacentral:rRNA from 1 species
CCUGGUUGAUCCUGCCAGUAGUCAUAUGCUUGUCUCAAAGAUUAAGCCAUGCAUGUGUAAGUACAGGCCGACUUAAGGCGAAACCGCGGACGGCUCAUUAAAUCAGAUAUAACUCAUUGGAUCUCUGCUGAACCGCAUUACUUGGAUAACUGUGGUAAUUCUAGAGCUAAUACAUGCCUUUGUAGUCUCCGACCGCGAGGGAGGAGCGCUUUUAUUAGACCAAAACCCUCGGCAGCCGGUUCCCGCAAGGGGCCGGCCGCACACAUCUUGGUGAAUCAGAAUAACUUUUGCCGAGCGCACGACCCCUCCCGUAACCCGGGUUGGGUCGGCGCCGCGUCCUGCAGGCGUCUGCCUUAUCAGCUCUCGAUUGUAGGUUAAACGCCUACAAUGGCUAUCACGGGUAACGGGGAAUCAGGGUUCGAUUCCGGAGAGGGAGCCUGAGAAACGGCUACCACAUCUAAGGAAGGCAGCAGGCGCGCAAAUUACCCACUCCCGGCACGGGGAGGUAGUGACGAAAAAUACUGUUGCGAGCCCCGAACGGGGCCUCGCAAUUGGAAUGAGUACACUUUAAAUCCUUGUACGAGGAUCGAGUGGAGGGCAAGUCUGGUGCCAGCCGCCGCGGUAAUUCCAGCUCCACUAGCGUAUAUUAAAGUUGUUGCGGUUGAAACGCUCGUAGUUUGACUUCUGCUCCGGACCGGCGGUCCGCCUUAGCGGCGGCUACUGCCGGGUUCCGAGCUGUGUCCCCGCCGGCGCACAUGGGGUUUUUAUGCCCUUAACCGGGUGUCCCCUUGUGGCCGGCACGUUUACUUUGAAAAAAUUAGAGUGCUCAGAGCAGGCUGGUUUUUGCUUACAGCCCGAAUGGUCGUGCAUGGAAUGAUGGAACAGGACCUCGGUUCUAUUUUGUCGGUUUUUCGGAACCCGAGGUAAUGAUUAAUAGAAGCAGACGGGGGCAUUCGUACUGCGACGCUAGAGGUGAAAUUCUUAGACCGUCGCAUGACGACCUACUGCGAAAGCAUCUGCCAAGGAUGUUUUCAUUGAUCAAGAACGAAAGUUAGAGGUUCGAAGGCGAUCAGAUACCGCCCUAGUUCUAACCUUAAACGAUGCUGACUAGCGAUCCGCCGCAGUUAUUCCCAUGACCCGGCGGGUAGCUUCCGGGAAACCAAAGUCUUUGAGUUCCGGGGGAAGUAUGGUUGCAAAGCUGAAACUUAAAGGAAUUGACGGAAGGGCACCACCAGGAGUGGAGCCUGCGGCUCAAUUUGACCAACACGGGGAAACUCACCAGGCCAGGACACCGGAAGGAUUGACAGAAUGAAGGCUCUUUCUCGAUUCGGUGGGUGGUGGUGCAUGGCCGUUCUUAGUUGGUGGAGUGAUCUGUCUGGUUAAUUCCGAUAACGAACGAGACUGGCGAUUCGUGAAGACCAACCAAAUAGUCCGGCUUGGCGCCCCCUUCUGGUGGGUCAACACGCCCUCGGAAGCCACCAACAAGAACUGCGCCAUCAUGCAAAAAUCCGUCGGUUACUAUUUCGUCGACGUCGCCUGCAACGCCGCGACCUACAGUGCCAUCUGUCGGAAGAAUUGAUCGGAGCGUUUUGGCGGGAAAUGCAAACGGUUCUCGU